CGCUAAAUGUCAGUCUAUUGGAAUAGGUAAAAAAAACACAUUAAGGUUUUAUAAACUAUUUUGUACAUGCUACAUGAGCACAAGACAUCGGAUAGUUUAUCAUAACAACAUGUUAGCUUUAGCCUAUUAGCUAACGGGCUACAAGCUAAACGGGUUCAUGGAUAACAGCAUCGUACAGCAUUACGAUGUGUUUGACUUUUAUUUUCGGAUUCCAUUUAACUUAAUUCAACUGCCAGUCCAAGCUUCCUACCGCAGAGUGUCGCCAAAUCCCCGCGACGUCUUGCGUACUUGACGCAAAAACUCCCAACUAGCCAAACAAAGUGGAGCUACGCGUCCUUUUUUGGCGCAGAGAUGACGUCAAAAUGUGGUUUGACAGCAGCCAAACGUCGUUUAAAAAGUCCAUUACGCUGUCCUCUGUCAAGUGGUGGAUUUCCUUCACGAUGUCACGAAAAGCCACAACUUCAACACGUCUUCUCUCAAAAGUGGAGCAAACAGGUAAACCUCGGACAGAUUGCGCCUCCUGACACGACGACAGAUGGCCCCCGCUGCCCUCUACCCCCCUGGGAUGGAUGGGUCGAGUUUUAAGCGGCUAUUCCUUCAGCAGCACAUCAGGAGAUGUGCAUGGAUGUCUUGCAAAUUGAAUUAUAUGGAAAAGAGCUAAAAAAAAUAAAAAAAAACACCCAGUUUAACGUUGUCACCCAAAUAAAAGUGCC